AUUGAACGCUGGCGGCAUGCUUUACACAUGCGAGUCGAACGGUAACAGGCCGCAAGGUGCUGACGAGUGGCGAACGGGUGAGUAAUGCAUCGGAACGUGCUCAGUCGUGGGGGAUAACUACUCGAAAGAGUAGCUAAUACCGCAUACGAUCUAUGGAUGAAAGCGGGGGACCGUAAGGCCUCGCGCGAUUGGAGCGGCCGAUGUCAGAUUAGGUAGUUGGUGGGGUAAAGGCUCACCAAGCCAACGAUCUGUAGCUGGUCUGAGAGGACAACCAGCCACACUGGGACUGAGACACGGCCCAGACUCCUACGGGAGGAAGCAGUGGGGAAUUUUGGACAAGGGGCGCAAGCCUGAUCCAGCAAUGCCGCGUGCAGGAAGAAGGCCUUCGGGUUGUAAACUGCUUUUGUACGGAACGAAACGGCUCUGGUUAAUACCCGGGGCUAAUGACGGUACCGUAAGAAUAAGCACCGGCUAACUACGUG
rnacentral:rRNA from 1 species